AUUGAACGCUGGCGGCAGGCCUAACACAUGCAAGUCGAGCGGAGCGGCGGACGGGUGUGUAAUGCCUAUGAAUCUGCCUGGUAGUGGGGGAUACAGUCCGGAAACGGGCGCUAAUACCGCAUACUAUCGGAUGAGACUCGGUCGUAUUAGCUAGUUGGUGGGGUAAAGGCCUACCAAGGCGCCGAUCCGUAACUGGGCUGAGAGGCUGAUCAGUCACACUGGAACUGAGACACGGUCCAGACUCCUACGGGAGGCAGAAGUGGGGAAUAUUGGACAAUGGGCGAAAGCCUGACCGAGCCAUGCCGCGUGAUUGAAGAAGGUUUUCGGAUCGUAAAGCACUGUAAGUAGGGAGGCGGUACCAACAGAAAAAGCACCGGCUAACUUCGUGCCAGCAGCCGCGGUAAUAC
rnacentral:rRNA from 1 species